rnacentral:rRNA from 1 species
UACAGAGACUGCAAGCGUUAUUCGGAUUCACUGGGCGUAAAGGGUGCGCAGGCGGCCAAGUGUGUUAGGCGUGAAAGCCUGAGGCUUAACCUCAGAAUUGCACCUAAAACUACAUGGCUAGAGCAUUGGAGAGGGUAGCGGAAUUCACGGUGUAGCAGUGAAAUGCGCAGAUAUCGGGAGGAACACCAGUAGCGAAGGCGGCACUCUGGGCCGGUACUGACGCUGAGGAGCGAAAGCGUGGGGAGCGAACAGG